rnacentral:rRNA from 1 species
UACAUGGGGUGCAAACGUUGCUCGGAAUUACUGGGCGUAAAGCGCGUGUAGGCGGUCUGGCAAGUCAGAUGUGAAAGCCCCGGGCUCAACUUGGGAACUGCAUUUGAUACUGCUAAGCUAGAGUACAGAAGAGGUGACUGGAAUUCCCAGUGUAGCGGUGAAAUGCGUAGAUAUUGGGAGGAACACCAGAUGCGAAGGCGGGUCACUGGGCUGAUACUGACGCUAAAGCGCGAAAGCCAGGGGAGCGAACGGG